CAGCCGCCGCGGUAAUUCGUAGGGUGCGAGCGUUAAUCGGAUUUACUGGGCGUAAAGCGUGCGCAGGCGGCCCGUUAAGACAGGUGUGAAAUCCCUGGGCUCAACCUAGGAAUUGCGCUUGUGACUGGCGGGCUCGAGUACGGUAGAGGGGGGUGGAAUUCCUGGUGUAGCAGUGAAAUGCGUAGAGAUCAGGAGGAACACCGAUGGCGAAGGCAGCCCCCUGGGCCUGUACUGACGCUCAUGCACGAAAGCGUGGGGAGCAAACAGGAUUAGAUACCCGGGUAGUCCACGCCCUAAACGAUGGGUACUAGCCGUUUGGUGCGCGAUAGCGCUGAGUGGCGAAGCUAACGCGUGAAGUACCCCGCCUGGGGAGUACGGCCGCAAGGUUGAAACUUAAAGGAAUUGGCGGG
rnacentral:rRNA from 1 species